rnacentral:tRNA from 1 species
UAGGGUAUAGCUCAGUGGUAGAGUGCGUGCUUAGCAUGCACAAGGUCCUGCGUUCAAUCCCCAGUAUCUCAC